AUUAAUCCCAAAGUCUCAGCUUCAGCCCCCAAUUCCUUGUCCAAAAGCAACCUAUUCUCUGAAGCAGAAUAUUCCCUCUUAUUCCACAGCUUCUUCACUGCAACAACCUCUCCGCUUCUCAGUUCAAUUCUGUACACUGCCCCAGACCCUCCACGGCCCACAAUGUUAUCAUCAAUAAUUCCUUCGAUGAUCUCUUGUUGGUCAAAACAUGUUUUAUGGAAGCUCUUUACAUCGUAUGAAAUGAGUGACGAAGACAUGGUCUCAUCAUGUUCCGUGAAUCUUUCUUUACUGUGUUUAAGUAUUACAAACAAGAGUGCCCCAAGAAUAAUGAUAACUAAUGGAAUUCCGAUAACCAAAAUAAGAUAUAGUCUCUUUUUGUGGUAGUAAGUCUGUGAGCAUAUGGGGAAUUUUGAUAUGACGAUACAG
rnacentral:misc_RNA from 1 species